GGAGAAUUGGCAGAGUGGUCGAACGCACUGGUCUUGAAAACCAGCGUACCGCAAGGUACCGUAGGUUCGAAUCCUACAUUCUCCGCCA
rnacentral:tRNA from 1 species